CUGAAAUCCAAUUCCAUAGUUUAUCUAGUAGUCUCCAUCAAAAAGGAAGCAAGCUAAGCCACACUUGUUAUUUUAUAUUUUAAAUUUGACCCAUUACAUGUAUAUACAUCAGGACCAAGGCAUUAUGAAGUGUUUGUGUGUGUUUAUCCUUAAUUAAUUUUCAUCCAAAUUUGAUUCCACCAGAAGCUAAGCCAUACUGUCUUUUUCUCCUCUAUUGCAUGAAGCUGGAUUGAUCUGACUUUGGCAUUUGGAAAUCAUAACCGCCGCGCAGAAAAUGAGCAGUGCUUUUUCCUCUAUAUCUUCUUCUUAUGUGGGGCCUCCGAAAAAAUAUGACGUUUUUCUUAGCUUUCGAGGUGAGGAUACUCGCAGAAACUUCACAAGCCAUCUUUAUGAUGCUUUGAGUCGAAAGAAAGUUGAAACCUUCAUAGACAACAAUGACCUUCAAAAAGGAGAUGAGAUCUCACCAACACUCAUCAAAACCAUUGAGGAGUCACAUGUGUCUAUUGUCAUCUUCUCAGAAAACUACGCUUCCUCAAAAUGGUGUUUGAAUGAUCUCAAAAAGAUUCUAGAAUGCAAGCAAUAUAUGGAACAGAUCGUGAUACCUAUUUUUUACAACAUUGAUCCAUCACAUGUGAGGAAGCAAACCGGGAGUUACAAGCAAGCCUUUGCAAAACAUAAGCAAGAUUUGAAGCACAAUAAUGCCAAGUUGGAGAAAUGGAAAGCCUCUCUCACUGAGGCAGCUAAUUUAGUUGGAUGGGACUCUCAAAAUUAUAGACUUGUAAGACCUUUCCUUCCUUCAUGUGCAAGGAUUGAAGUGGACUUCAUUAAGGACAUUGUUGAAGAUGUUUUAAGGAAACUAAAUCUUAGAUACCCAUAUGAAAUUAAGGGUCUUGUUGGAAUUGAGAAAAAUUAUAAACAAAUUGAAUCAAUGCUGAAAAUUGGGUCAAAUGAUGUUAAAGUCCUUGGAAUAUGGGGCAUGGGUGGCAUAGGAAAGACAACCCUUGCUAAGACUUUAUAUGCUAAACUUUAUUCCCAAUUCGAAGGUCGUUGCUUCCUCAAUGUAAUGGAUGAAUCAAACAAGUAUGGACUCAAUGUUGUAUACAAUAAACUUUUAUCUUCAUUGUUAUAGGAAGAAAAUCUUCAUCCUGAUGCACCCUACAUAGAAGUCCCUUUCUCCGAAAGAAGGAUUGCGCUUAAAAAAGUUAUAAUUGUAUUGGAUGGCGUGGAAACCUUAGAGAGAAUAGAAGAUUUUAUCCUAAAAAUUGAUGGGCUGGGACCCGGUAGUAGGGUCAUUAUUACAACUAGAGAUAAGCACAUAAUUAGUCAGUUCAGUAAAUGUGAAAUAUACGAGGUUAAGGAAUUGAAUAAUCAUGAUUCUUUUCAGCUAUUCAGUUUGACUGUCUUCAAGGAAAAACAUCCUAAAAUUGGAUAUGAAGAUCUAUCAGAGAGUGUAAUUGCCUAUUGCAAAGGCAAUCCUCUGGCUUUAAAAGUUUUAGGUGCUAAUCUGAGUUCAAGAGGCAAAGAUGAAUGGGAAAAUGAAUUGAAAAAGCUCCAAAAGAUUCCCAAUACGAAAAUUUACAAUGUAUUAAAAUUGAGUUAUGAUGACUUAGAUUGUUGUCAAAAGGCCAUAUUUCUAGACAACGCAUGCUUGCUGAGAGAAGAGAGUAAAUCUUUCGUAAGAAAACUUUUGGAAGCUUGUGAGUUCUUUGCAGUAAGUGGGAUAGAAGUCCUUCUAGAUAAAUCUCUCAUACAACUAAAAAAAAUAUGGCAUGUUUAUGUCAAGUCGGACGUUGAUGGUAUAGAAAUGCAUGAUUUGUUACAAGAAAUGGGACGAGAGAUUGUUAAUCAAGAAUCUAAGAACCCUGGAAAACGAAGUCGAUUGUGGAAUGCUGAAGAAAUAUCUGAUGUAUUGAAAAAAAACAAGGGAACGGGAGUUGUGGAAGGUAUAACAUUUGAUAGUACAGAAGUUGGGAAUCUUUACUUAAAGUCUGAUUCCUUUAGAAGGAUGACAAACUUAAGAUAUCUUAAAAUCUAUAAUAUAUCUAAUGGGAGAACAUGCAAUGUGCACUUUCCCGACGGUCUUGAGUGGCUUUCUAAUAAAUUGAGGUUCCUUAUGUGGGAGGGAUACUGCCUUGAGUCUUUGCCACCAACCUUUUGUGCUGAAAUGCUCAUAGAGCUUCACAUGGGUCAUAGCAAGCUUAAAAAGCUCUGGGAUGGAGUUCAGAAUCUUGUGAAUCUAAACAUACUCCGGCUUGAAUCCUCCAAAGAUCUGAUUGAGAUCCCAGACUUAUCUAAGGAUACAAAUCUUCAUGGAGUGUUUUUCAAUGUGAAAGCCUGUGUCAGCUCCAUCCUUCCAUCUUCUGUCUCCCUGAUCUUAGAUAUCUAGAUUUACGAGGUUGCAAAAAGAUUGAAAGCCUUAAAACCAACAUUCAUUCAAAAUCUCUUCGUGAACUCUUACUCGAUGGUUGUUCAACUCUCACAGAAUUUUUGGUGACAUCGGAGGAAAUGACAGAGUUGACCUUAGGCGGCACUGCUAUACGUGAAUUGUCUUCAUCGAUUUGGCGCAAUAGCAAACUUACUUGGCUUGGCCUAUCUGAGUGUAACAAGCUUAAAAUUGUUGGGAAUAAGUUAAGAGAUGAUCAUGGACUGUGGUCUGUUACAAAGCUAGACCUUUCAGGGUGCACAGAAAUCAAUGCAUUAAGUCUUUGGUCCAUCCUUGAUGGCAUACAAUCUUUAAAACAGCUAAUAUUGAAUGAGUGCUGCAACUUAGAAAGUCUCCCCGAGAAUAUCCAAAACCAUUCAAUCCUAAAAUGGCUUGAUUUAGAUGAUUGCAGGAAACUUGUGUCUCUAGCAGAGCUUCCAGCAUCCCUGUUAUAUUUGACAGCUGUUAACUGCAAUUAUCUGGAUAUGAACUCCACUCAACGGUUAUUGCUUGAGAACAUGGUACGAACUUUCUCUAAAGACACUCCUGAUGAAGAUGGUGUUCGUCAUUUUUCUCUCUUGUCAGGUGUAGAAGUUGCAUGCAACUUUGGCAAAGAAGUCGACAGAUGUCGUAUUAGUUGCAAAUAUCUUGGGACAUUAAUUUCAGAUCAUGUAUUGAUAUGCUGGAAUGGUUACAACAAACAAGAAACUGGAAGUCAUGACUUUUGCAACCUAUCAUUUCAGUUCCUACUUCAAGGUCAAAAGGAACAAUUGUGGUGGUCAACAGAGGGGAUAAAGGGGUGUGGAGUCUUACCUGUAUAUGACUUGAAAAGUGAGUCGGAGCUGUAUGUUAUAAGUAGUAGUCGUGAGGAAAUAGUUAAAUCAAAAUUAAAAUCCAGUGCUCAGGACUCUGGUGAAUUUGAUUUUGAUUUGAAAAAUGAUAUUGAUGACAGCCAAGAAAAAUUGAAGGUGAAGUCGGAAGCUCUAACAAUGAUAAUGAAGAAUACCAAGAACAACCUUCUUGUUCAAUAGGUUCUUUGAUGAGGCACUUGUUAAAACGAUCAAAAGAAUAAUAGAAGUCAGAAAUGUUUUUUGGUCUCUUUCUCCUGUUUCCCAAGUAAAAUGAGCACAACAUCAUUACAUUCACUCAACAGUAUGUGUUGAUGCAGUAGACUGGUGAUAUCAAGCUGUGCAAUGAUAGGUUGCUUGUUACUUUUACCAUGGCAGAAAACUUCCUAAAUUUAUGCAGUUGUUUUCUGUUGUGUUUCUUGGUACUUGAACUCCUCUUUCUUCAAACAUCUGCUUUGUAACUAAAUGACUUGUCGUUCUUCUUCGUUUUGCAGUAAUCACAUCGGUAUUCAUUAACAUAAUCCUAGUUUCAUGUAUUUGAAUUUGGGAACUUGCCCCUAUGCUAUCCACUUGGGGAGGGUAGUUUAUUUGGUAAUCAACUUGCUUUCAUUCAGAACAAUAUUUGAGCA